rnacentral:sRNA from 1 species
UGCAUCUGCGGCCUGUGAGGAUGAGAACCUCCGGGGGGGGGGAGGUUCGACUCGAGCGAAGCGAGAGAACGUUGCGUCAGCAACGGCCCGCAGGGCGAGCCACAGAGUGGCGAGUCAUCCUCUAUCACCGACCA